UACGUAGGGUGCGAGCGUUGUCCGGAAUUACUGGGCGUAAAGAGCUCGUAGGCGGCUUGUCGCGUCGUCCGUGAAAACCUGCAGCUUAACUGUGGGCUUGCGGUCGAUACGGGCAUCACUGGAGUUCGGCAGGGGAGACUGGAAUUCCUGGUGUAGCGGUGAAAUGCGCAGAUAUCAGGAGGAACACCGGUGGCGAAGGCGGGUCUCUGGGCCGAUACUGACGCUGAGGAGCGAAAGCGUGGGGAGCGAACAGG
rnacentral:rRNA from 1 species